UACGUAGGGGGCAAGCGUUGUCCGGAUUUAUUGGGCGUAAAGAGCGUGUAGGCGGCUAGGUAGGUCCGUUGUGAAAACUCGAGGCUCAACCUCGAGACGUCGAUGGAAACCAUCUAGCUAGAGUCCGGAAGAGGAGAGUGGAAUUCCUGGUGUAGCGGUGAAAUGUGUAGAGAUCGGGAGGAACACCGGUGGCGAAGGCGGGUCUCUGGGGCAACUCCUGACGCUGAGGCGCGAAAGCGUGGGGAGCGAACAGG
rnacentral:rRNA from 1 species